AACGAACGCUGGCGGCAGGCCUAACACAUGCAAGUCGAACGCCCCGCAAGGGGAGUGGCAGACGGGUGAGUAACGCGUGGGAAUCUCCCUUAUGGUACCGAAUAGCCCCGGGAAACUCGGAGUAAUACCGUAUAAGCUCGAAAGAGGAAAGAUUUAUCGCCAUAAGAUGAGCCCGCGUUGGAUUAGCUAGUUGGUGAGGUAACGGCUCACCAAGGCGACGAUCCAUAGCUGGUCUGAGAGGAUGAUCAGCCACACUGGGACUGAGACACGGCCCAGACUCCUACGGGAGGCAGCAGUGGGGAAUAUUGGACAAUGGGCGCAAGCCUGAUCCAGCCAUGCCGCGUGAGUGACGAAGGUCUUCGGAUUGUAAAGCUCUUUUGGCGGGGACGAUAAUGACGGUACCCGCAGAAUAAGCCCCGGCUAACUUCGUGCCAGCCGCCGCGGUAA
rnacentral:rRNA from 1 species